UAUAAAAUUGAGAAUGGAAAUGGGGAAUGUGCCAAAGAGACAACAACCCGAUCAUAGAAAAAAACAACAGCAGAAGGUCACCAACAGGUCUUCAAUGUAGCGAGAAAUUCCGGCACCCGGAGGCGUCCUUCAACUGGCCCCUAAACAAAUAUAUACUAGUUCAGUGACAAUGAACGCCAUACUAAUUUCCAAAUUGUACACAAGAAACUAAAAUUAAAAUAAUACAAGACUAACAAAGGCCAGAGGCUCCUGACUUGGGACAGGCGCAAAAAUGCUGCGGGGUUAAACAUGUUUGUGAGAUCUCAACCCUCCCCCUAUACCUCUAGCCAAUGUAGAAAAGUAAACGCAUAACAAUACGCAC
rnacentral:lncRNA from 1 species